rnacentral:tRNA from 1 species
GGGCCCAUAGCUCAGUUGGUCAGAGCAGCGGACUCAUAAUCCGUUGGUCGCUGGUUCGAAUCCAGCAGGGCCCACCA